GACGUAGGGUGCAAGCGUUAUCCGGAUUUACUGGGUUUAAAGGGUGCGUAGGCGGCCUCCCAAGUCAGUAGUGAAAGCUUGGUGCUUAACAUCAAAAGUGCUACUCGAUACUAGGAGACUUGAGUUAAGAAGAGGUAAGCAGAAUUUGUGGUGUAGCGGUGAAAUGCAUAGAUAUCACAAGGAAUACCAAUAGCGUAGGCAGCUUACUGGUCUUAUACUGACGCUGAGGCACGAAAGGCGGGGAGCAAACAGG
rnacentral:rRNA from 1 species